GGCGUGCUUAACACAUGCAAGUCGAACGGAAAGGCCUAGCUUGCUAGGUACUCGAGUGGCGAACGGGUGAGUAACACGUGGGUGAUCUGCCUCGUACUUCGGGAUAAGCCUGGGAAACUGGGUCUAAUACUGGAUAGGACCAUGCUUUAGUGUGUGUGGUGGAAAGUUUUUUCGGUACGAGAUGAGCCCGCGGCCUAUCAGCUUGUUGGUGGGGUAAUGGCCUACCAAGGCGUCGACGGGUAGCCGGCCUGAGAGGGUGGACGGCCACAUUGGGACUGAGAUACGGCCCAGACUCCUACGGGAGGCAGCAGUGGGGAAUAUUGCACAAUGGGCGCAAGCCUGAUGCAGCGACGCCGCGUGGGRGAUGACGGCCUUCGGGUUGUAAACCUCUUUCGCUAGGGACGAAGCUUUUGUGACGGUACCUAGAUAAGAAGCACGCGGCUAACUACGUGCCAGCAGCCGCGGUAAUACGUAGGGUGCGAGCGUUGUCCGGAAUUACUGGGCGUAAAGAGCUCGUAGGUGGUUUGUCGCGUCGUCUGUGAAAUUCCGGGGCUUAACUUCGGGCGUGCAGGCGAUACGGGCAUAACUUGAGUGCUGUAGGGGAGACUGGAAUUCCUGGUGUAGCGGUGGAAUGCGCAGAUAUCAGGAGGAACACCGAUGGCGAAGGCAGGUCUCUGGGCAGUAACUGACGCUGAGGAGCGAAAGCAUGGGGAGCGAACAGGAUUAGAUACCCUGGUAGUCCAUGCCGUAAACGGUGGGCGCUAGGUGUGAGGGUCUUCCACGACUUUCGUGCCGUAGCUAACGCAUUAAGCGCCCCGCCUGGGGAGUACGGCCGCAAGGCUAAAACUCAAAGGAAUUGACGGGGGCCCGCACAAGCGGCGGAGCAUGUGGAUUAAUUCGAUGCAACGCGAAGAACCUUACCUGGGCUUGACAUAUGCAGGAUCGGCGUAGUGAUACGUUUUCCCUUGUGGUCUGUAUACAGGUGGUGCAUGGUUGUCGUCAGCUCGUGUCGUGAGAUGUUGGGUUAAGUCCCGCAACGAGCGCAACCCUUGUCUUAUGUUGCCAGCACGUGAUGGUGGGGACUCAUGAGAGACUGCCGGGGUUAACUCGGAGGAAGGUGGGGAUGACGUCAAAUCAUCAUGCCCCUUAUGUCCAGGGCUUCACACAUGCUACAAUGGUCGGUACAACGCGCUGCGAGCCUGUGAGGGUGAGCGAAUCGCUGAAAGCCGGCCUCAGUUCGGAUUGGGGUCUGCAACUCGACCCCAUGAAGUCGGAGUCGCUAGUAAUCGCAGAUCAGCAACGCUGCGGUGAAUACGUUCCCGGGCCUUGUACACACCGCCCGUCACGUCAUGAAAGUUGGUAACACCCGAAAGCCAGUGGCCUAACCCUUGUGGGGGGAGCUGUCGAAGGUGGGAUCGGCGAUUGGGACGAAGUCGUAACAAGGUAGCCGUACCGGAAGGUGCGGCUGGU
rnacentral:rRNA from 1 species